rnacentral:rRNA from 1 species
ACGGAGGAUCCAAGCGUUAUCCGGAAUCAUUGGGUUUAAAGGGUCCGUAGGCGGUUUGGUAAGUCAGUGGUGAAAGCCCAUCGCUCAACGGUGGAACGGCCAUUGAUACUGCCAGACUUGAAUUACUGGGAAGUAACUAGAAUAUGUAGUGUAGCGGUGAAAUGCUUAGAGAUUACAUGGAAUACCAAUUGCGAAGGCAGGUUACUACCAGUGGAUUGACGCUGAUGGACGAAAGCGUGGGUAGCGAACAGGA